UGAUACUCUCUCGCCGUCUCCUCAGCCAUUCGCUCUGCGCCCGCUGACGUGAUGUGACGGGUCUCCGGUUGUGUUGCAGCGGUGAGGUGGUGUUGCAUCUUUUCUCAGCGGGCGUGUUGUGGUGGAGUGCGGUGUGAAGGGAGAGGUGGAUAGGAGAUAAUUGGUGGGCUGUGUGUGGUGAGUGCCACAUUGUCUGUGAGGGACCCUCAGAGCCACACAGCACCAGCUGCAACAGCUACAGCAGCAGCAGCAGCAGCAGCAGGAGGAGGAAAUGGCAUCCACCUUCUACCUCACCCAGUGUCACCGGGGCCUCCUCCUCCUCCAGCACUACAGGUGGUGACAGAGAGGGUGGCCAGCUUGUCCCUCCCUCCUGCCACCCAGUCACAGCACUGGCAGUUGCUGCAGUGAGACUGCCCAGGCACAAGUUUGUGCACGUGUCCAGGACGUGAAGGUGAUGGGAACGUGUCCUGUAGGAGGGAGCAGAGCUGUAACAGUACCCGAGUCUGCUGCUGUGCUGGGAGAAGGAGAAAAACAUCAGCAGUAGUUAGUAGUGGUAGUAGAAGUAUUCAGCAGUGCUGCUGCUGCUGCUGCUGCUGUCAGUGGUGCAGCUGUUCACUCCUCCACAGCUGCUGCCUUCCCUCAACAUACUGUGUCUUCCCUCACCUACAAUGAACAACUAUGAACAAUACCUCUCGUGCAAUCAGGCAGCGCUCAGCUGUACUCACCGAUAGACUGACCACUAAGAAUUACCUGUGGGCCACAUGACAAGGCCCAUGCCAGCCAGGCUUGGUUGCCAAUCAAUAACAACAACAACAACAUCUCGUGCAAUGAAGAACACUGAAUAACAACAACACCUCUCCCCUGCAUCAUCAACAAUCAACAACAUCUGCUUUGUUUCACUCAUGCUGCCCCCCCCCUCUCUCUCUCUCUCUCUCUCUCUCUCUCUCUCUCUCUCUCUCUCUCUCUCUCUCUCUCUCUCCUCACCUCACCUCACCUCACCUCAGGCCACAGCGCCACAGUAUGUCCCCCCACAGUAUGUUUACAAACCCACAGUGACUCCCCACAGCCCCUCACCAAUAAGUGACCCCCUCACACACACACACACACACACACACACACACACAGCAUAACAUACACAAAUGCUGCAUCUUGUACAAUGGCCACAAUAAAGAAUGGACACACAAAA